GAUGAACGCCGGCGGCGUGCCUAAUACAUGCAAGUCGAGCGAACGGACGAGAAGCUUGCUUUUCUGAUGUUAGCGGCGGACGGGUGAGUAACACGUGGAUAACCUACCUAUAAGACUGGGAUAACUUCGGGAAACCGGAGCUAAUACCGGAUAAUAUUUUGAACCGCAUGGUUCAAAAGUGAAAGACGGUCUUGCUGUCACUUAUAGAUGGAUCCGCGCUGCAUUAGCUAGUUGGUAAGGUAACGGCUUACCAAGGCAACGAUGCAUAGCCGACCUGAGAGGGUGAUCGGCCACACUGGAACUGAGACACGGUCCAGACUCCUACGGGAGGCAGCAGUAGGAAAUCUUCCGCAAUGGGCGAAAGCCUGACGGAGCAACGCCGCGUGAGUGAUGAAGGUCUUCGGAUCGUAAAACUCUGUUAUUAGGGAAGAACAUAUGUGUAAGUAACUGUGCACAUCUUGACGGUACCUAAUCAGAAAGCCACGGCUAACUACGUG
rnacentral:rRNA from 1 species